GAUGAACGCUAGCUACAGGCUUAACACAUGCAAGUCGAGGGGAAACGAUAGAGAAAGCUUGCUUUUUCUAGGCGUCGACAGGCGCACGGGUGAGUAACGCGUAUCCAACCUUCCCAUCACUUGGGGUUAACCUUGCGCAAGUAAGACUAAUACCCAAUGAUAUCUCUAGAAGACAUCUGAAGGAGAUUAUCGCAUUAUCGGUGAUGGAUGGGGAUGCGUCUGAUUAGCUUGUUGGCGGGGUAACGGCCCACCAAGGCGACGGUGAGUAGGGGUUCUAAGAGGCAGGGCCCCCACAUUGGAGCUGAGAAACGGUCCAGACUCCAACGGGAGGCAGCAGUGAGGAAUAUUGGUCAAUGGGCGAGAGUCUGAACCAGCGAAGUAGCGUGCAGGGUGACGGCCCGAUGGGUUGUAAUCUGCUUUUAUAAGGGAAUAAAGUGAGUCUCGUGAGACUUUUUGCAUGUACCUAAUGAAUAAGUACCGGCUAAUUCCGUGCCAGCAGCCGCCGUAA
rnacentral:rRNA from 1 species